rnacentral:tRNA from 1 species
GCUUAGCUCAGUUGGUAGAGCAGCUGAUUCGUAAUCAGCAGGUCGCAGGUUCGAGUCCCGUAGC